GGAAAGAUGUUUUGGUGUGCUGAAGUCACGGUUUCGGUGUCUGGAUAAAUCUGCAGGCCUUUUGUUGUAUAGUCCCUCAAAGAUAACUGAGGGGAUCGGGGCUCAUCACUCUGCGAACUCGCCAAUAGUGCCAGUGGUGGCUGGGGUGACACUGCCGAAAGUCGUCGCCUGGGUGGGGAUGAUGGAGCCGCAGAUUCCGAGCCAAGACGCCGUGUCUUACUUGGCCUCCUGGAAUAUGUGACUACAGUGAAGACUUACCUGCAAUCCCAGCCUCAUCCUGACUUGUCUGAGGCCUGUCUGGCCGGCUGGUCUGUGGAACUGUUGAAAAAGUGUUCCAAACAUUAUUACCAUGCUUUGUGUUAAAAAAACCACUGCAAAGCCUUAUUGUACUGU